UCCGUGUUCGGUAAUCCAUACGAUUCCGACCAGCGAUCUCCUAGAUGGAAUAGUGGUGGCCGUUAGAUGUUAGGUGACCUAAAGUUCUAUAGGCGAUGGUGGUGACUGGAUCGCCAAUGAUGUUAAUUUUACACCGUUCCGCUCUCCCUCUUGUGAAGCAGCGGCUUUUGGCAUUCGGAGUCGAGGUAUUUGGAAAAAUCCUCAAAGCAAUCUCAACCACCCUCGGACGAUCGAUCAAGGUACACUUAACAGGAAGGAUGGAUGUGGAUUCUCUUGAUGUUGAGAAUGGGACCUCAUUCAAGUCAGAGUUGGAUGAUAACUCAUAUGGAAAUAAGGAUGAACAGAAGGAAAAAAGUUUAAAAGAAGCCAAGGAGGAAGAAGAGAUGCAAGAUUUUGCAGAUCAGGAGAAGCUUAGAUCAGCUGCACUUCCUGUUGCUGUUGUUAGUGAAGGAUUGCAAUCACCAACCACCAUACCAAGCUCUGGAAUUUCAUUGUCGCUCAUAGACAAAAAUGAAGAGACAGGUCAGCAUUUGCCAUUUGAGUCUGAUAACCAUUCACAGGUUAAGUCCGAUUCUAAUGAUAAUGUUGAAAAGAGUAGUCAUAGCUUUGAGGAACCAGCCUCAAAUGUUGGGCAUCAGGAAUGCCAUGAUGAGGAACAAGGAACUAGUGGUAACAAUCUUUCUGGUGAUCUUCACGGUGUUAGUGCUGAUCAAAUAGUGAAAAAUGAAAGGCCAUUAGUAGACUCAUCUCUUUUGUCUAUUGAGAAUGAUUUCAACUCUCAAUCUGAAAAGUCUGAGUUUGAUAAUGAUGUAAACAAAGGUGGAAAUGUUAGUCACAAUAUGGAAGAGAGGGAAGAUGAUCAUAUAGUUGGUGUUGCAAAUUUGGAUGACAGAGAACCUCUUAAAGAUAGUUUUGUGGAGCAAUCUUUGCCAACUGAUAGAAGUCCAAAACCACCUACAUUGGAGAGAGAAUUAUCUGUUCAUACAGAAAAAUCUCCUGACCCCAACCAUUCAGCAGCAGGAGAGCAGCUACUGAAUGGGAUCAGUGAGGAAAAAUUAGCCCGUUCGCCCAAACAUACACCUCUUGAAAAGCAUUCUGUGAAACGAAAGAGAGAUUCUCAAGAGAGUUUGUCUCCUCCAAGUAUUAAAUCUCCUCGAGGCAGGGCAACACAUAAAGAAACUCAUCACAGAGAUUCUUCUCUGAGAAAAAAGGCAUCAGCUUCACCUCGAAGCCGGGAAUCUCCACGGAGGAAAGAGAGAUCAACAUCUCGAUCACCUGUAAGGCGGAAAGAUACUUCUGGAUCUGGACAUAAAAGAGAUCGCCGUGGUAGAUCUCGGUCCAGAUCUCCCUAUGCAAGGGAUCAGCAUAGAAGGUCUCCAAGUAGGAGAAGGCAUUCUCCAAGGUACAGAUCUCCACCAAGUUAUCAUUCUCGUCAUCGGUCAUCUAGAAGGCCAUGGUCACCACCAACUAACCGCAACACUGGAGUGGGUAAGCCUGGGCGGAAUUUGUUUGUUGCUGGUUUUAGCUAUGUUACCACUGAAAGAGAUUUGGAGAAGAAAUUUUCUAGGUUUGGACGUGUAACAGAUGUUCGCAUUGUUCGUGAUAACAGAUCAGGGGAUUCUCGUGGCUUUGGGUUUUUAUCCUUAGAAAGGGAUGAAGAUGCUGAUGCUGCGAUACGUGCUCUUGAUCAAUCUGAGUGGAAUGGGAGGAUUGUCCUGGUGGAGAAGUCUAAAACUGGGGCUCGCUGAAUGAUUUCUUUGCAUUACUACCAUAGUCAAGAAUGAUAGAAGAGCCUUCAGUUUUGCCAGCUUAUUUUGGACCAGUAUUGGUUCCAACCAUAAUGGCACUGAUCAUGCUACGCGGGUUUAAUGAUCAUUCAUCGGAUAGAAACCAUAGGUGUGCCUUCACUUUCUGGAAAAAAGUUCAACUUUCAAAGUACCACCUAUUGCAAACGUCUGAGGCCUGAACCUACUAUUUCGAAGAUUAUUUCUCUCGUCUUUUGCUAUUUUCUGACACGGACGAAGCGACGAUUUCACCUACCAAUAACACUCAGAUACUCCAGAAUCUACGAUCCCUCGAGCCGUUUCGCAAAACAAGCUACCAGAUUCCUUCCCGCGACCGAAUUCACACCGUGACGGUCUCUCCCCCAGCCAAAUCACGCUCCUAUCCUGACCUGGCGCACGUAAUGCCGACACGCGUGACUCCGACGACCAGGUCGUCGGUCUGAUCCUUCCCUUUCUGGAGCAGUUUUGGGUCUGUUCCAAUGGCGCCGCCGCCCGCCCUCUCUUAUCUUCUCCUCCCCCUGCCAUUUCUUCGCCUAUAAAUUCACCUCUCUUGUUUUUUCCCAUCGUUCUUAUCCCUUCAAUUACUACUUCU